GAUUUUGAAAGCCUGCUGUGAAGAGUAAAUCCCAAGGACACAUUUGUCUUCCUGGGAAUAUAAAAGCUUGGAUCAGUAAAAUACACUGCGAGCAAAGUCAAAAGACCAUCCCCAAAAUGAGGGGAAUAGGGCAAGUAAGUGGAGCAGUUCCACCCUGAAAGUCCCUGGAAUAAAUUUUAAAAUGGUGUAUUCUUCAUUUUGAACACAGAAGCCUUUCCUGGGAAACUUUGCAAGCCACAGUGCUUGGUUGGAAACGUGACAGGCCAAAUUGCAACCAGAAUUCUGCGAUUAUAAACAGAACCAUUUUUGUUUCAGAGAAAAAAAAAACAGCGACAGAGAAAGGAAACUAAAAGAAAAAGAGGAAAUGAAUCAGUUUCGGAGCAUGAGACCUCAAGCGCACAAACAAGCUUGGGAGUGGAGGCUAUCAGCUGGAUGGGUGAAAACAGUGGAACUGACUGGAGAGAGAUAAUUUUAUGCCGAGAGCAACUGAACCUGAGAUUCUGCCCGGCACCUCUGAAAGAAGUGAGCUACCUCUAAGCCUGAAUAUCAGGAGUAAAGUCUGAGACAAUGGUAGGCGCGUUCUGGGUGCGUGAGACCUCAGACUUCGACGAUGAGUCAUAUCAGUGGUUCAUGAAUUCUACCAGUUUAUGAAUUC